rnacentral:lncRNA from 1 species
GUCCUGACUUGGUGUUAAGAUAAAUCUGAAAUAUAAUAAGGGAAUGAAGCAUGGACUGUGUGACUCUACCAGGAGCGACCCCUUGGAAGCUUGUAUUUGGUAUCCUCUGGACUUCAUUCAUAAAAACAAGAAGAUACGUCACUGAAGGAGUACCUCUAAUACCAAGCUGGCUGCGGAGCACACUUGCAUUCUUGCACUUGACACACCAUAUGGAAUCUGGUUGUGUGUAAAACAGAGAAUUGACAUCAACCUGAAGCACAUGGAACAAGAGCAAAGGACUGAAUAAUAUACAAAAAAGACAGGUGUUUCAGCAAAGCAACUGACCAGCAUUCCUUCCUGAUAAGAAACCGCCAUCCAUGGAGUGGUUCUGGCCAGUCUAUGGAGAAUGUAGUGAAGGUUUUCAUGUCUUCUGCUUCACUUUUUGACAUUAGAAGGCCAAAAUCUCCACCUUGGAUUAUGCUAACACCUCCAUUUAUUGAACAAGGGUCAUGUCCCUUGUCCCAUGAACAAGGACAAAAAGCAUGAAGUUCAACUGUGCAUGUGCAUGUUUCUCCUUUCAUAAAUAUUCAUGACUGUUCCCAUAGCUUAUUGAAUAUGUAUAUCUGGCCACCCCAUUCAGCAUAAAUUCCUGCCUUACUCUUCAAGUGUCAUUCCAGGAUUCUGACCGGAGGGAGGCGACACUUCCCAGCCUGUCAGAAUGGCCACCCUGCAGGCUGCAACUCUUUAUGGGAAAUAAAGCUCUCCUUUCCAAAU